rnacentral:rRNA from 1 species
GACGAACGCUGGCGGCGUGCUUAACACAUGCAAGUCGAACGGAAAGGCCCUGAUUUUGUGGGGUGCUCGAGUGGCGAACGGGUGAGUAACACGUGAGUAACCUGCCCUUGACUUUGGGAUAACUUCAGGAAAAUGGGGCUAAUACCGGAUAGGAGCUCCUGCUGCAUGGUGGGGGUUGGAAAGUUUCGGCGGUUGGGGAUCGACUCGCGGGUUAUCAGCUUGUUUGUGGGGUAGUGGCUUACCAAGGGUUUGACGGAUAGCCGGCAUGGGCGGGUGACCGGCCACAUUGGGACUACGAGACGGCCCAGACGCCUACGGGAGGCAGCAGGGGAGAAUAUGGCACAAUGGGCGGAAGCCUGAUGCAGCAACGCCGCGUGCGGGAUGACGGCCUUCGGGUUGUAAACCACUUUCGCCUGUGACGAAGCGUGAGUGACGGUAAUGGGUAAAAAAGCACCAGCUAACUACGUG